rnacentral:rRNA from 1 species
GAUGAACGCUGGCGGCGUGCUUAACACAUGCAAGUCGAACGGAAAGGCUCCUGCUUGCCGGGGUACUCGAGUGGCGCACGGGUGAGUAACACGUGGGUGAUCUGCCCUGCACUUCGGGAUAAGCCUGGGAAACUGGGUCUAAUACCGGAGAUGACGAUGGUUUGGAUGCCAUUGUGGAAAGUUUGUCGGUGUUGGAUGAGCUCGCGGCGUAUCAGCUUGUUGGUGGGGUAAUGGCCUACCAAGGCGUCGACGUGUACCCGGCCUGAGAGGGUGUACGGCGGCAUUGGGACUGAGGGACGGCCGCGAUAGCGACGGGAGGGAGCAGUGGGGAAGAUUGACCAAUGGGCGCAAGGCGGAUGCAGCGAGUCCGCGGGGGGGAUGUCGGUCUUAGGGGUGUAAACUCAAUGCGCUAGGGACGAAGCGUGUUGUGACGGUACCUGGAGAAGAAGCACCGGCUAACUACGUG